rnacentral:rRNA from 1 species
UGAGGAAUAUUGGUCAAUGGGCGCAAGCCUGAACCAGCCAUCCCGCGUGAAGGAAGAAGGCGCUAUGCGUCGUAAACUUCUUUUCCAGGGGGAGAAUUUUCCGGUCGUGACCGGAAUUGACGGUACUCUGGGAAUAAGCAUCGGCUAACUCCGUGCCAGCAGCCGCGGUAAUACGGAGGAUGCGAGCGUUAUCCGGAUUUAUUGGGUUUAAAGGGUGCGUAGGCGGAUCAAUAAGUCAGUGGUGAAAUACUGCAGCUUAACUGUAGAAUUGCCGUUGAUACUGUUAGUCUUGAGUAUGGUUAAGGUAGGCGGAAUGUGUAAUGUAGCGGUGAAAUGCUUAGAUAUUACACAGAACACCGAUUGCGAAGGCAGCUUACUGGGCCAUUACUGACGCUGAUGCACGAAAGCGUGGGGAUCGAACA